CAGAGAGUGAUUCUUGAGACAGAGCUGGUAGUAGAAUCCAGCCUUAUCAAUCUAGUACAGAGAGAAGCAGUGAAGGAGAAAAUCAGCUUAAAGAACAAGUUUAAAGGGAUAUUCAACUAAGUGGAUGGCAUAAAGGUACGAAACCAGGAGGAAGAAUACAUUCAGAGUGAAGAUUGAAAAUAUCGGCAAAAGAAAAGAACCAAUAUUCUGUUUUUACCAUUAAAGAUAGUGGGCCUGCCAGAUAUGGACUCCAGUAUUAUUAUCAGAGUAAAUGGCACUGAAUAAUAAAACACAUGAGAAAGAAAGCUAAACUAGAGCA
rnacentral:lncRNA from 1 species